rnacentral:rRNA from 1 species
UACGGGGGGAGCAAGCGUUGUUCGGAUUUACUGGGCGUAAAGGGCGCGUAGGCGGUCAGCACAAGUCAGUUGUGAAAUCUCCGGGCUUAACUCGGAAAGGUUAACUGAUACUGUGCGACUAGAGUGCAGAAGGGGCAACUGGAAUUCUCGGUGUAGCGGUGAAAUGCGUAGAUAUCGAGAGGAACACCUGCGGCGAAGGCGGGUUGCUGGGCUGACACUGACGCUGAUGCGCGAAAGCCAGGGGAGCGAACGGG